rnacentral:rRNA from 1 species
CCUACGGGCGGCAGCAGUGGGGGAUAUUGGACAAUGGGGGGAACCCUGAUCCAGCGACGCCGCGUGAGUGAAGAAGUAUUUCGGUAUGUCAAGCUCUGUCAGCAGGGAAGAAAGAAAUGACGGUACCUGACCACGAAGCCCCGGCUAACUACGUGCCAGCAGCCGCGGUAAUACGUAGGGGGCAAGCGUUAUCCGGAAUUACUGGGUGUAAAGGGAGCGUAGACGGUUAAGUAAGUCUGGAGUGAAAGGCCGGGGCCCAACCCCGGGACUGCUCUGGAAACUAUUCAACUUUAGUGCAGGAGAGGUAAGCGGAAUUACUAGUGUAGCGGUGAAAUGCGUAGAUAUUAGGAGGAACACCAGUGGCGAAGGCGGCUUACUGGACUGUAACUGACGUUGAGGCUCGAAAGCGUGGGGAGCAAACAGGAUUAGAUACCCGAGUAGUC